rnacentral:rRNA from 1 species
GAUGAACGCUGGCGGCGUGCUUAACACAUGCAAGUCGAGCGAGUGAGUUCUUCGGAACAAUCUAGCGGCGGACGGGUGAGUAACACGUGGGCAACCUGCCUCAUAGAGGGGAAUAGCCUCCCGAAAGGGAGAUUAAUACCGCAUAAAAUUAUCGAGUGGCAUCACAUGAUAAUCAAAGGAGUAAUCCGCUAUGAGAUGGGCCCGCGGCGCAUUAGCUAGUUGGUGAGGUAACGGCUCACCAAGGCGACGAUGCGUAGCCGACCUGAGAGGGUGAUCGGCCACAUUGGGACUGAGACACGGCCCAGACUCCUACGGGAGGCAGCAGUGGGGAAUAUUGCACAAUGGGGGAAACCCUGAUGCAGCAACGCCGCGUGAGUGAUGAAGGUCUUCGGAUUGUAAAGCUCUGUCUUUGGGGACGAUAAUGACGGUACCCAAGGAGGAAGCCACGGCUAACUACGUGCCAGCAGCCGCGGUAA